UAAAACGAUGAGUGCUAAGUGUUGGAGGGUUUCCGCCCUUCAGUGCUGCAGAUAACGCAUUAAGCACUCCGCCUGGGGAGUACGACCGCAAGGUUGAAACUCAAAGGAAUUGACGGGGGCCCGCACAAGCGGUGGAGCAUGUGGUUUAAUUCGAUGAUACGCGAAGAACCUUACCAGGUCUUGACAUCUUCUGCCAACCUAAGAGAUUAGGCGUUCCCUUCGGGGACAGAAUGACAGGUGGUGCAUGGUUGUCGUCAGCUCGUGUCGUGAGAUGUUGGGUUAAGUCCCGCAACGAGCGCAACCCUUAUUGUUAGUUGCCAGCAUUCAGUUGGGCACUCUAGCAAGACUGCCGGUGACAAACCGGAGGAAGGUGGGGAUGACGUCAAAUCAUCAUGCCCCUUAUGACCUGGGCUACACACGUGCUACAAUGGACGGUACAACGAGUCGCGAAACCGCGAGGUCAAGCUAAUCUCUUAAAGCCGUUCUCAGUUCGGAUUGUAGGCUGCAACUCGCCUACAUGAAGUUGGAAUCGCUAGUAAUCGUGGAUCAGCAUGCCACGGUGAAUACGUUCCCGGGCCUUGUACACACCGCCCGUCACACCAUGAGAGUUUGUAACACCCAAAGCCGGUGAGGUAACCUU
rnacentral:rRNA from 1 species